UUCCUUGGUGAUACAGGGUAGCCAAUAUCGGGCACCCUAAAGCUUCAGGAUUGUUCUUGUAACCAUAAGGAGACCCAAAAGAAGCUCUUCAGAGGAGAAACCAGGUGUGCAUAUUGCAGAAUAUCUAGGAAAAAAUAAUCCACUGCAUUUAAUUAAGGUUUUUUGCAUGUACAUGGGUUAGAGUUAUUUACUGGGUCAUGAGAAAAUUACCAGUGGCUACAUCUUGGAAAAACAAAUGCUCAAAGAAGCCAUCAAUUGCCAAUAGCACCUCUGCUCAGGCCACAGCCUCAUGAAUUCGUCCCCAUCCAUGUUGAUGCAUGAUUUUGUGCAGAUGCUAAUCCUGUCAGAUGUACAGCUGAUGUAUACAUUCAGUCAAAGUAUUUGCAAUGUUCAAGUGAGAUGUGGAUGUUAUGGUGUUGAGCUGAGUAGCUCAGAAACACGUUCCUUAGUCCAGGAGCUCAGGGUGCCUGAUCUGUGAUGGUGUCUUCACAUAGCGAUCCUUCAUGGCAGAGACGUCCCACUGAAGAUGUAUUUCUAUAUUAAAUGCUUUAAAACACAAGAUGUGGAAGAAUUCAACCUACAUGUGUGAAAAGUUUUAAGACAGUGGCUGAGAUGAAACCUGAGCAAAAAAGAGAGAACAAAGAACAAUGGGAAGAGU